UCACAUCGUCUGGGGUGCCGCAAGGCUGAGAAUAGACCCAUGAACCUGAUAUCGUUAACACGGCCGAAGGAAGUACGCAUUGCAGGAAAU
rnacentral:ncRNA from 1 species